rnacentral:lncRNA from 1 species
CCUGAGAUCCAUGUCAUGAAAGUCUGAUAACUAAAUAGAAAGAAAUUUAAUAUCAACAAACUAAAUUAAAAAAAAAAUUAUUAAAAGAAAAAAAACAAAAAGAAAUUGAGGGGUCAACCCAGAAUUAACUGGGUUAACCCGUGAAAUCAGGUUAAUCCAUCAAACCUGGGAUAUGUGUCAUGAAAGUAUGAUAAUUAAAUAGAAAGAAAUUUAACAUUAACAAACUAAAGUAAACGAACAAAAUUAAUUAAAAACAAAAAAAACAAAAAAAAAAUUUCGGGUUAACUCGUCAAAUCAGGUUAACCUGUUAAACCCGGGAUCCGUGUCAUGAAAGUCGGAUAACUAAAUAAAAACAAUUAACAUCAACAAACUAAAUUAAACAAAAAAAAUUAUUAAAAGAAAAAAAAACAAAGAAAGAAAGAAGCGAAAAAAAAACCCAAAAGGCAUAAAAAACGAAAAAAACAGCUAAAAAAAACAAAAAAAAAGACAGCUCAGCAAAAAAA